AUGGCAAGUUUUGGAAAUCCUCAGAACAAAAGGGUAACAUCCAGCAAUCCUCGGAUGAAAAAAGUGAGUUAUGGAAAUUCUCAUAAGGAAAAGGUAACACCCGACAAUCCAAGGAUGCAAAAAGUGAGUUAUGGAAAUCUUCAAAACAAAAGGGUAACAUUUGACAAUUCUCUUAUGCAAAAAGUGCAUUCUGGAAAUCCUCAGAAUAAAAGGAUAACAUUAGGAUAUCCUCGGAUGCAAAAGGUGAGUUCUGGAAAUCCUCAAAACAAAAUGGUAAAUCUUACAAUCCUCAUAUGCAAAAAGUGA